CCCCCCGGCCGGCGGCCGCACUGCUCCCAGCUGGGUGAAUGGAGGCGGGUCGGUUGGGCCGGGAGAGGAGCCAAGGUGGGGCGUGCGCCUACUGAGACGCAGCCACAGCCACACUUUUUCAGGCACACGCGCGCGCGCUCGCACGCACGCAAAGAGUUACACACCAGGGCCUGCAAUAACCUGAACCAUCUUGGGACUCCUAGACCAGGCGAGCUUGGAGAGGAUGCCUGCCCCAAGGGGCUGAGAUCUCCUGGAUCCAGCCACCAUAUAAAGAAGUUCAGGUUAUCAUGCUGAAGAGGCUAUGUGGAGUAGAACUGAGGCGCUCCAGCUGACAGCCAGCACCGCCUGCCAGUCAUGUGAAUAAGCCUUCUUGGAAGAGUAUCCCCCAGCCCCAGUCAAGACUUCAGAGAAUGUAGCCCUAACCAAUAUAACUGCAAUCUGUAAGAGACCACCCCCCCACCCCCCCACCAACCACAGGACAGAACCACCCAGCUAAGCUACUCCUGGAUUCCUGCCCCUCCCAAACUGUGAUAUAAUACAGGCAUACCUCAUUUUAUUGAGCUUUGCUUUAUUGCACUUUGCAGAUACCGUGUUCUUUUACAAAUUGAAGGUUUGCCGCAACGCUGCAUCAAGCAAAUCUGUUGGUGCCAUUUUUUUCCCAACAGCAUUUGCGCAUUUCGUGUCUGUGGCACAUUUUGGUAAUUCUCACAAGAUUUCAUUAUUAUUUCAUUAUUAUUAUAUUUUUCAUUAUUAUUAUAUUUGUUGUGGUGAUAUGCGAUCAGUGAGUAUGACUUGCUGAAAGCUCAGAUGCAUUUUUUUGGCAAUAAAGUAUUUUUAACAAAGAUAUAUACAUUGUUUUUUAGACAUACGGCUAU